CUGUUUAUCUUUUCCAGCUGAGAGGCAUCCAAGAUGGCUAAAUGGCCCCUCUCACCCUAGCAGCAUCCUCCUGGCAGUGCUGGCUUGUCCCUUUCCUGAAAGCUGCAGCUGGAACCUCCUCACUGUGCACACCCACACCAGGACACGCUCGCUGCCAGGGCUGGAAGGGGAAUUGCAGGUGGCAUACAGCAACUACAACCAACCGAGAAUGACUGCGUUCUCCAGAACCGUGGUCAGGAAAUUGGAAGCUACCUUUUGUGAAGCGAAAAACCUCAAGGAAAAAAUCACGUUAGCCUGUUGUCGUAGUCUACAAAGCAAUGCGGCUUUGAACCCACAGCCACUGGAAAUCCUGCCUGAUCCUUCGUGGGAGUGUGAAGCACAGUUUUUUUCUAAUCUUUAAGUUGUGGACAAAGCAAGGAGAUGAGAAACAGAACAGGAAAUAAGACAGAAACCUUGGAAGAACAUCCAGAGCCAAGUGUCACCUUGGCAGAGCCCCAGAUUCGGCUUCUCCUCUGACUGCAGAACACUCGGGCCCAUAUGUGCUUCACAGCUCACAGCCAUGCUCCGUAGCUCUCGUGUCCCCAACUGAAGGUCCAGCCCCAGUGCGGAGUACGUGUCUGCCUCCCAUCCUGGCUGCUGCUCAGAGUGACCCAAGGUGGCAGCAAGAGAAAAGCAUUCGCCAUCUACAGGGACCAUGGGCAGAAGCCCA
rnacentral:lncRNA from 1 species